AAUGUGAGGGGCAUGUGAGGGCUGUCGCUGACUCAAAGUCGUGCACGCCCGAGUGUGUCCUCUCACAUAAUAAUCCAUCUCACCCUUUGUGCAUCGCCGCGUGAGCACCCUUUGGGAUCAUCUCGGAGGGGGCUCGCGUUUUCACACAAACCCCCCUUUUAAAAGUGUAGAAUGACCUCAUUUAUGCGCUAACACGCAAUCAAUACAACUUUCAACAACGGAUCUCUUGGCUCUCGCAUCGAUGAAGAACGCAGCGAAAUGCGAUACGUAAUGUGAAUUGCAGAAUUCAGUGAAUCAUCGAAUCUUUGAACGCACCUUGCGCCCCUUGGUAUUCCGAGGGGCACACCCGUUUGAGUGUCGUGAAAACCUCAACCUCCUUGGUUUCUUCUGGAGACCAAAGGCAGGCUUGGACUUUGGAGGCCCUUGCUGGAACCUCUCUCUUUUGAAGGCCAGCUCCUCUUAAACGAAUUAGCAGGGUCCUCUUUGCCGAUCCUCGACGUGUGAUAAGAUGUUUCCAUGUCUUGGUUUCUGGCUCUGUCACUUUUGGGACCCGCUUCUAACCGUCUUGACCUUGCAUCGAGACAAUGUUCGAGCAUGUCUCCCUUCUCGGGAAGCUCCCUCGACCCCACAAACCCUUGACCUCAAAUCGGGUGAGACUACCCGCUGAACUUAAGCAUAUCAAUAG
rnacentral:rRNA from 1 species